rnacentral:rRNA from 1 species
UGCAUGGUUCGAAAUUGAAAGGCGGCUUCGGCUGUCACUUAUGGAUGGACCCGCGUCGCAUUAGCUAGUUGGUGAGGUAACGGCUCACCAAGGCAACGAUGCGUAGCCGACCUGAGAGGGUGAUCGGCCACACUGGGACUGAGACACGGCCCAGACUCCUACGGGAGGCAGCAGUAGGGAAUCUUCCGCAAUGGACGAAAGUCUGACGGAGCAACGCCGCGUGAGUGAUGAAGGCUUUCGGGUCGUAAAACUCUGUUGUUAGGGAAGAACAAGUGCUAGUUGAAUAAGCUGGCACCUUGACGGUACCUAACCAGAAAGCCACGGCUAACUACGUGCCAGCAGCCGCGGUAAUACGUAGGUGGCAAGCGUUAUCCGGAAUUAUUGGGCGUAAAGCGCGCGCAGGUGGUUUCUUAAGUCUGAUGU